rnacentral:rRNA from 1 species
UUACUCCUACGGGAGGCAGCAGUGGGGAAUAUUGCGCAAUGGGGGCAACCCUGACGCAGCCAUGCCGCGUGUGUGAAGAAGGCCUUCGGGUUGUAAAGCACUUUCAGUGGGGAGGAAAGGGCGCCAGCUAAUAUCUGGUGCAG